rnacentral:rRNA from 1 species
UACGGUGGGGGCAAGCGUUGUUCGGAAUUACUGGGCGUAAAGGGCUCGUAGGUGGCCAACUAAGUCAGACGUGAAAUCCCUCAGCUUAACUGGGGAACUGCGUCUGAUACUGGAUGGCUUGAGUUUGGGAGAGGGAUGCGGAAUUCCAGGUGUAGCGGUGAAAUGCGUAGAUAUCUGGAGGAACACCGGUGGCGAAGGCGGCAUCCUGGACCAACACUGACACUGAGGAGCGAAAGCCAGGGGAGCAAACGGG